rnacentral:ncRNA from 2 species
GGGUCUGGAAUAUUUUUCCAGAGGAUAUCAGAUGGUCGGGCCGCCAUCU